UUCAGCUCAUAAAGUGUGGUGGCGUCAUAGUGUGUGCGUUGGGUUACUCUCAACUGGUCAAAUUUUUCUUUUAAGUAAAGAAAAAAGUUUUAAAUUGUACUAGUGUUCAUUACAAAUCGACGGCAAUAUAACCAGAGCUUAAGAAAAAAAGCAUGAGAGUGACAUCAUGUUCUGUAUCAUUAGAAGCAAGGAGGAAGCAAUUGUUUAUUCGUUAGCCAGGGCCUUACAAGACUUGGUUUAAAUUUCAACGGUCCAGGGCUUGUAAGCAUGGGGUUUGUUCUUUAGUUAGCCAGGGUUUUGACGAACUUUGGUUUAUCAUUGAACAAGCCCAAGGUUUGCAAGCAUUGGAUAGUUUUAAUUUGGUAGCCAGGAUCUUGUAAGGCAUUGGUUUAGGGUGGAACAUGGUUAACACUGCUCGAUGCAGUUUUAUCCGUUAGCCAGGGUCUUACAAGAUUUGGUUUAAAUUUCAACGGUCCAGUGCUUGUAAGCAUGGGAGUGUUCUCUAGUUAGCCAGGGUUCUGACGAACUUUGGCAAGCAUUGGAUAGUUUUAAUUUUGUAGCCAGGAUCUUGUGUGGCAUUGGUUUUUCAAUGGAACGUGGCCAGGUCUGACACCAGCUAUUUGAACAGCUAAGUGGUAUCUUUCUGUCAUUGUAUUAUAUUUCAAAUAACACUUAUUUUACUGUAGAUAUCAUUAUCCUGAGGAGCCAAUGUUUGGCGAAGUAAUCUUCAUGUGCAGACACCAGAAGGAUAGUGGCUUAAUUUUUUAGUUUAUUGUUGAACAAAAGCAUUGCGAUUAAAUCUUUAUUAAUUCAUUUUCUUUUUUUGUUAUAGUUGUUAGCCAGGUUAUAUUUAAAUUAUAUUAAAGAGGUAGUAGAUAGAGCUUUAAAGUAAAAAAAAAUCGCUUGUUGAUAUUCGCCUUUUAGAUCCAUGUUUCUUCCAGUCUGGCCGUGUGGGCUUUGGACAAUAACGGCUGCGUCUACGUCAGACAAGAUGUAACACGCCAGCUACCCAUCGGCACGGAAUGGAACAAAGGUGUCGAGGCUACUCAGCUAGCGGUCAGUUGGAAAGCCAUCUGGGUUUUGACGAACGGGGAGGUUUACCAAUUAACGACAUCAUCCCCCUUGAAAAGCGACGAAGGACAACACUAUGAAGUUCUACAGUUAGAUGAAGACUGGGUCUUACUUUAAUGCAUAAAAAACUACCGAGUGACCAUUUAAGAUUGCAAUACAAAUGAAGAGUUAAA